AUGGAUCUCUCUGAAAUUGUACCACAAUGUACCAUAUAACAAAGGAGAGGCUGGGAUUAAGUUUUGGGUUAAUUGCCCAAAAUAUGUAGGAAUUAGGGGCCAAAAAAGGGCCAAAAAGAAGCAUGUUUCUAGUUUCUAAACAAUCAUGACAAUAACUUGUGUUUAAGUGUAUGGAUCUCUCUGAAAUUGUACUACAAGGUUCAAUACUACAAAGGAAAGCAUGGGAUUGAGUUUAAGGGUAAUUGCUCCAAGAGGGAUUCAAAAAGUUUUGGGGGAUGGGGGUUUGGGGGGUUGUUCACCAUUUUUUGAAGGGCUUCGUUUUUUUUUCAAAAUUUUUCAAAUUUCGAAUUUUGAAAAGUUUCAAGAAAUCUCCAAUUGCACAGUAUUGCAUGUAUUGUGCAAUAGAUUUGUUAGAUCUUUGACUACAUUUAUUUUUUUGACAAAAACCUAUAUGUCAAAAAUUUGAUCACAAUCCAAAUUCAGACAGAAUCAAGCUUGAAUAUUGUAACCAAAUUUGGCCCAACUGUUCAGGGUUCAACCACUGGGGUCGUAUAAAGCUGCGCCCUGCAGAGCACCUGGUUAUAGUUCGUUUUCAUGUUGUUCUGUUAUACCACUGUCCCAGGUUAGGGGAAGGGUUGUUUUACAUUGUCAUAUCGGGGCCUUAUAUCAUGUAUAUAGCCAAAUAUUUGGUAUGGGCUUUACUCAUUGUUGAAGGCCGUACAGUGACCAAUAGCA
rnacentral:lncRNA from 1 species